AGCUGGCUAUUCCACCAAACCCAGCAAGUGGCCAGAAGUUAUUAAAGGGAUAGUUAAAGAAACUGACUGUGGGCAGGGCCUACCAAGUGAACUCUGAUAACUGAACCGCAGCUUUACAUGAAGACAAGAGCUUUCCAUAUUUAUUGUAGGGGGUUCCAUGUACAUUAGCAAAUAGCCACUGGCCUGAAUACCUGACUUGGAGAUGAACAGGGGAGGUCUUAUAAAGUAUGUUUACCACAUUGAUGCAUUUUCUAACAAGGAAGAUUAUCCAAGCUCAUCAGACCCUUCACAGCCAUAAGGAGCCUUCGAGCUGAAACUUUACGUUGGUAACAACGUCUGUUACUAAAUGAAGAAGGUGGAUGGCUUCUCUUUAGAUCUACCCCUGCUGGACUUACAAAGGAAAUACCAAGUCACAGGUUCAUCUAUACAAAAUGCCAUAUCUACUGUAUUAUUCUGGCAUGGGUUCCAUGCAGUAAGAACUAAUGGAUUUUAACAACCAGCAGACGUUGACUCCAAACUUUCCAGAAGACAAAGUACAGGUAUGGGAUGUGUUAUCCAGAAAGUUCAGAAUUACGGAAUUGUCAUCUAUGGUUUGAACUAAUCAAUACACAAUACAUUGUUUUCAUAAAAUUACUUGCUUUGCCAUUUUAGUUUUCUUACCUGCUGAUAAUUCUAGUUAUAAACAAUAGCUGUCGUUUUAAAAUCGUUGUUGAGACUUUCAUAAACAAUCAAUACUAGUAAGAGAAAAAUAGAAUUAAAAAUGAUUUGUCUAAAAUUUAAUUUAGAGCUGUAAAAUAUGCGAAAUGCUGUUUGCCUGACAGAAAUGAACUACUGUAGAACAGACAGACUUGUGCAAAGUAUUACUUACCACAGUCCUGUUCAAUAAAACACACAUACAUAGUAUUAAUGGCAUUGACUUCAGGGGACCAUAUUCCUUAAGAGCUGUUUUUCGAAGUGAUCAAAUCAGUGGAUCUGAGUCUGAUUUUGCUACCCAUGCGCUAGGCCAAAUUGGGCUAAACCAAUUGAUGGCCACUCUUUUUGAAGUUUUGAAUACUUUCGUGUUAGCAUGUUAAAGAAAAAAUUCACCUUUAAAUUAAUUAAAUGUAUGAUGCAGACCGUGGUACUCAA